GAGGAUUGACAGGCAUAUAUUAGCAUAAAGAUUCGUCUUUAGCGCUAAUUGUUAAAUAUGCUAGUCCUUUCAUGAUUAUGUGAUAGGUGGUGCAUGGCCGUUCUUAGUUCGUGGAGUGAUCUGUCUGCUUAAUUGCGUUUCACUAAGGGCCCAUAAAUUCAAGGUAUGUUAGCAAAUGCUGCUCUAUUGACCCCUAAUAGGCUUAACUGUCUUUAGCGCGUGUCUCUACGAGUUCUUUAAAGCACUGCGCAUGCUGUUGGGUCCUGAAAGCAACGAACGUGACCGCAACGUCUUGUUGCCUCUCUAUAAUACCUUCUUAUUUUUAAUAAGAGUAUUUACCUGAGGCUAUUUUAAAACUAGACGGACCGCUGUUUCUUUCUUAAACCAGAGGAAGGUUGCGGCAAUAACAGGUCUGUGAUGCCCUUAGAAUGUUCCGG
rnacentral:rRNA from 1 species